rnacentral:rRNA from 2 species
UUCGGCUAUCACUUACAGAUGGGCCCGCGGUGCAUUAGCUAGUUGGUGAGGUAACGGCUCACCAAGGCAACGAUGCAUAGCCGACCUGAGAGGGUGAUCGGCCACACUGGGACUGAGACACGGCCCAGACUCCUACGGGAGGCAGCAGUAGGGAAUCUUCCGCAAUGGACGAAAGUCUGACGGAGCAACGCCGCGUGAGUGAUGAAGGCUUUCGGGUCGUAAAACUCUGUUGUUAGGGAAGAACAAGUACAAGAGUAACUGCUUGUACCUUGACGGUACCUAACCAGAAAGCCACGGCUAACUACGUGCCAGCAGCC